UACGUAGGGUGCGAGCGUUGUCCGGAAUUACUGGGCGUAAAGAGCUCGUAGGUGGUUUGUCGCGUUGUUCGUGAAAUCUCACGGCUUAACUGUGAGCGUGCGGGCGAUACGGGCAGACUUGAGUACUGCAGGGGAGACUGGAAUUCCUGGUGUAGCGGUGGAAUGCGCAGAUAUCAGGAGGAACACCGGUGGCGAAGGCGGGUCUCUGGGCAGUAACUGACGCUGAGGAGCGAAAGCGUGGGGAGCGAACGGG
rnacentral:rRNA from 1 species